UUCUUGAAAGCUAUCGCUCAUGGAUGAGCCCGCGUUUGAUUAGCUUGUUGGCGAGGUAACGGCUCACCAAGGCUCCGAUCAAUAGCUGGACUGAGAGGACGAUCAGCCACACUGGAACUGAGACACGGUCCAGACUCCUACGGGAGGCAGCAGUCGGGAAUAUUGGGCAAUGGGCGAAAGCCUGACCCAGCAACGCCGCGUGAAGGAUGAAGGCCUUCGGGUCGUAAACUUCUGUCGAGAGGGAAGAAUGGCGAGCAUUCGAAUAGGGUGCGCGUUUGACGGUACCUCCAAAGGAAGCACCGGCUAACUCCGUGCCAGCAGCCGCGGUAAUACGGAGGGUGCAAGCGUUGUUCGGAUUUAUUGGGCGUAAAGCGAGUGUAGGCGGUUUGAAAAGUCGGGUGUGAAAGCCCAGGGCCCAACCCUGGAAUUGCGUCCGAUACUUUCAGGCUAGAGUCCCGGAGAGGGUGGCGGAAUUCCCGGUGUAGGGGUGAAAUCCGUAGAUAUCGGGAGGAACACCAGUGGCGAAGGCGGCCACCUGGACGGUGACUGACGCUGAGACUCGAAAGUGUGGGUAGCAAACAGGAUUAGAUACCCUGGUAGUCCACACCGUAAACGGUGAGUGCUCGUCGUAGUGGGUAUUGACCCCUGCUGUGACCAAGUUAACGCGAGAAGCACUCCGCCUGGGAAGUACGGUCGCAAGACUAAAACUCAAAGAAAUUGACGGGGGCCCGCACAAGCGGUGGAGCAUGUUGUUUAAUUCGAAGCAACGCGCAGAACCUUACCUGGAUUUGACAUCUCCGGAAUCUCUCUGAAAGGAGAGAGUGCCUUCGGGAACCGGAUGACAGGUGCUGCAUGGCUGUCGUCAGCUCGUGUCGUGAGGUGUUGGGUUAAGUCCCGCAACGAGCGCAACCCCUAUCGUUAGUUGCUAGCAGUUCGGCUGAGCACUCUAGCGAGACUGCCGGUGUUAAACCGGAGGAAGGUGGGGACGACGUCAAGUCCUCAUGGCCUUUAUGUCCAGGGCUACUAACGUGCUACAAUGGUCGGUACAGACGGUCGCGAACCCGCGAGGGCUAGCCAAUCCUACAAAGCCGGCCUCAGUUCGGAUUGGAGUCUGCAAUUCGACUCCAUGAAGGCGGAAUCGCUAGUAAUCGCGGAUCAGCAUGCUGCGGUGAAUACGUUCCCGGGCCUUGUACACACCGC
rnacentral:rRNA from 1 species